rnacentral:lncRNA from 1 species
UAUAAGCAAUACUCUGAUGAACAAACAUAUUUAUAAAUAUACUCUCUAGGCACUCACUGAAUUAUUUCCUUAGGAAAAAACUUCAUAGGAGUAGAAUUGCUGAGUCAAAGAGUAUGCACAUUUUCCAUUUUGGUGUACUUUUUCCAAAUUAUCUCUUCAUGAACGUAUGAGUCACACCCAUGUGAGACUCGGCGAGGGGAAGAUGAUGUCAGGCAGCAGGCACUGCAGGUGCUGGUUCCUGGGGUGGGGGACAGCGGAGGUCCCUUGCAUGGGGCCGGAGGUUGGGGGCAGUAGUUCUCUGCUUCAACAGAACAAUGCCUCAUUGUAAUUAACGUCCUUCCUGACCCAGUGGCCCCUGUGGAGUUAGCGAGGAUCCUUUCAUACGUUUCUUUCCAGCAUAAACUAUAAACAAGCAUGAGUGGAUUCUGUUAAUUGCAACAAAUACAGUCAUGUGUCACUGAGUGACGGGGAUGCAUUCUGAGAAAUGCACUGUUGGGUGAUUUUGUUGGUGAACCCAGGAGGCGGAGGUUGCAGUGACCUGAGAUUGCACCAUUGCACUCCAGCCUGGGUGACAGAUCAAGACUCUGUCUUAAAAACUUAGCUCGGUUUCAAGUGACUUCAGUCUAUCUUAGUGCUGUUUCUCACUUGGACUUUGUUAUGUGUUGGACUGAGUCCCCCCCCAAAUUUCUGUGUUGAAGCCCUCACCCCUGGUACCUCAGAAUGUGACCUUAUUUGGAGAGAGGGUUGUUGCAGAUGUAAAUUAGUGAAGGCGGGGUCGUACUGGGAUAGGGUAGGCCUGUCAUCCAAUAUGACUGGUGUCCUUAUAAAAAAGGGCCAUUUGCAUGCAGACAUGCACACAAGGAGAACGCCAUGUGAAGAUGAAGAUAGAGAUCAGGAGGAUUCUCCUGCUAGCCAAGGAACGUCAAAGCUUGCCAGCAAUCUACCAGAAGGUACCAGAGCAGCGUGGAACAGAUGCUCCCUCCCAGCCCUCAGAAGGAACCAACUCUGCCAACACCUUGACUUUGGACCUUAAGACAAUAAGUUUCUGUUGUUUAAGCCCCCAGCUUGCAGUGUUGUUGUUUUUUUCUGAGAUGGAGUUUCGCUCUUGUUGCCCAGGCUGGAGUGCAAUGGCGCCAUCUCAGCUCACUGCAACCUCCGCCUCCCGGGUUCAAGUGAUUCUCCUGCCUCAGUCUCCCAAGUAGCUGGGACUGCAGACACACGCCACCACACCAGGCUAAGUUUUGUGUUUUUAGUAGAGAUGGGGUUUCACCAUGUUGGCCAGGCUGGUCUCAAACCAUGUUGGCCAGGCUGGUCUCGAACUCCUGACCUCAGGCGAUCCACCCACCUCGGCCUCCAAAAUUGUUGGGAUUACCAGUGUGAGCCACUGCCCCUGGCCUGUAUUACUUUCUUAUUGCAGCGCUAACAACUAGUACAGACUUCUAAGCUUCAAUUCCUGAAUGUAUCAAGACCUGAUAGCCGAAGUGCCAUCACUGCCCAGCAGAAUUGUUGAAUGUUAAAGCUUGAGGCAAUCUCAGGUGUCAUCUUGUCCACCCUCCAACUGUGACAUACAAAGAAUUAAAAUCCAAACAGGGCAUGUGACUGUCCAAAAUCAAACAGUUGGUUGGCAGCAGGGCCAGGUCUAAAACCCUGAUCCUUUAGGUCCUUCCCAACUUCCCUUCUGCUGUGAUGAGAACUAAAAGGGCAGCAAAGCUCCAUAGGUAGGUUUGGGCAGAAAAUGCCCUGCGAGGCUUAUAACUACUAUGUCAUUAUAUCCCAUCAAAAUCACCUGGGGAGUCUUUAAAAGAAGAGUGUGGGCCUCUUCCCAGGACUCACUGAAUCACAUUUCUCAGAGUGUGAUCUGAAAAUCUGCAUAUUUUAAAUUUUCAACUGGUUUGAAAAUUCUUGCACACCACCCUCCUCUAUGGCUGCAAGUGAGGGGGUGGGCCUGGCUGGGGGGCAAACAGCCUGGGUUGGGGGCUGCCAGCUGUGUGACCUUGGGCACCCUAGUGAAGUUCUCUAAGUCUCAGCUUCCUCAUAUAUAAAAGGAAAGAACAGUGAUGCCAUUUAUUGCCUCAUUAGGCUGUAUAGAAUCAAAAAAGAAAAUUCAGGUAUGGCACAUAGCAGGGUGCCUGGCAUGUAGUAAACACUCAUUAGAAUUCAGCUAUUAUUAUAUUGUUAUUCAUAAAGAAGUGGGCAUGACAUUUACGACGCCUAAUCUUCAGGCCCCGCCACUCCCCAAUGUCAGGGGCUGUGCUUUGCCUGUGUUUUCCUCCUCUAACGAGGUCAUAGAGUCACACUAGUCUAUUUGCCUGGAUAUCUUUCUCCAUCUCCCCAGAUCCUACUCACCCUUCCAGGACAAGUGUCACCUCCUCUUGGCACCUUCCUUAGUCCCCAAAGUCACGUGCUGGCUUCCUCCCUGUGUCCCCAGCCCCUUGUCCAAACCUCCUCUUGGCCUCGUUCCCAGUCCGACGGAUGGCAGGGUGGUGUCUGUGUCUCAGCCCUCACUAGCCUGUCGUCCUGUACUGAGCGCUGUGGCUCAGAGGAGGUGCUCAGCAACAUUAACUAAAUCGGAUUAAAUAUGCAUGCUCAUUCCAUUCCAAACAAUGCCCUGCUGGACUUCUCUGCUGGCGGCGAGUCAGCUUUCCAAGUGACUCUGUUUCACCGACACCACCUUUUAUAGGAGCACGAAGGAAGAACAGGCAAAGUGCUCAGGUCAAAGGUGGCACUUACCCUCAAAUGUAAUUCCUAGGGACUGUCACAGGGAUUCUGGGUCAUGGGUUUCUGAAAGAUGCUUCUUUCAAGGUUGCAAUGGGCAGCUCGUGGUGAUUUCCAUGGAAUCUGUACGGCAGAUGCUGACUCUAAUACAGAGUGAUGUGCAUCGAUUCCCCAAAGAAAAGAGCGGUAGUUAAGGAAUAAAAACAUCACUGUGGGCAGAGGCGAUAUUAAUCAUGGCCACUGCUCUGCAAGAACGCUGCUUCAUAGGACACUAUCUGUGCCUACGUUUCUUAUCAUGGAAGUUUCAGGGUAUUAGGUCAGGUGAGAUGAAAGAGGGAGACAGAGAGAGAGAAAUUGAUUAAUGGUGUACUGCUGAGUUAUUUUUCUCUUAAAUAUCUUCUCCUUUUCAUCUGUUAUAACAUCCUGACCUGAAGGAAAUUUCUUACGUCCUCUCCUCUUAAUGAGAUGUGGCUGCACAGGCUUGAGAUAGAUGCUGUCAAUCAGGUGGACCAUUGUGAACAAAAAUACAGGCAGCUCCCAGGGUUGAGGUGAUGGGCAAGAAGGAUGACACUGGAUGAUUAAAAUCCACCAAAAAUCUCCAGCCUCCUAUUUACCCUAACUUUUGACUGCUCUCCCGCCUUCCCGGGUUUACCAGAGUGCUAAUGAUUUGGCAAAUGCUUAGGCACUCCGUGACCUGGAGUUUUCCUGCCACUGUGCAGUAAACUAGUAAUCCCUGGAGAGAAAGGGGGUUUUCAUUUCUUUCUAGAGGGCCUCUUCCUCUUGAAACUCACUGUCUAAACUUUGCCUCCUCCUGUCUUUCUUUUCACUGUAGGUUAUCUAUUCAUUAAUAAUUGCUGCCUCCUCCUCCUCUGUGCUGUAUCUUAAAUUGAUUCCUUUCUCUCUCUGCCCAAAGGAAAAUAUCUGCACUUUAGCCUAGAACCUCAUUCCCUCAUCUUGGAACCCUGCAACCUCCUUCCUGGUUACAGACAACCUCA